CCAAUAGCGUAUAUUAAAGUUGUUGCAGUUAAAAAGCUCGUAGUUGAACUUCGGGAUCAAUUAGUUGGUCAUGCCUUGGUAUGUACUGAUUUUAUUGGUUCUCACCUUCUAAAGAACUAUAAUGUCAUUUAUUUGAUGUUAUAGGGAAUUAGGACUGUUACCUUGAAAAAAUUAGAGUGUUUAAAGCAGGCUCACGCUAGAAUACAUUAGCAUGGAAUAAUGAAAUAGGACAUCGCAUUCUAUUUUGUUGGUUUCUAGGAUCGAUGUAAUGAUUAAUAGGGAUAGUUGGGGGCAUUAGUAUUCAAUUGUCAGAGGUGAAAUUCUUGGAUUUAUUGAAGACUAACUACUGCGAAAGCAUUUGCCAAGGAUGUUUUCAUUAAUCAAGAACGAAAGUUAGGGGAUCGAAGACGAUCAGAUACCGUCGUAGUCUUAACCAUAAACUAUGCCGACUAGGGAUCGGAUGAUGUUGAUUUUUUAAUGACUCAUUCGGCACCUUACA
rnacentral:misc_RNA from 1 species